rnacentral:misc_RNA from 1 species
ACGUCAUCCCCACCUUCCUCCCCGUUGCCAGGGCAGUCUGAUUAGAAAAAUACAACUAAUCACAAGGGUUGCGCUCGUUAAUGGACUUAACCAAACAUCUCACGACACGAGCUGACGACGGCCAUGCAUCAUCUGUCACUUGGUUCAAUAAAGCACUCUCGCCUUUCGGCAAAAUUCCAAGGAUGUCAAACCCUGGUAAGGUUCAUCGGUUAUCAUCGAAUUAAAGAACAUAAUCCACCGCUUGUGCGGCUCCCCGUCAAUUCCUUUAUGUUUUAGUCUUGCGACCGUACUCCACAGGCGGGAUACUUAACGCGUUAGCUUCGCUACUGAAGGGGUCGAUACCUCCAACAGCUAGUAUCCAUCGUUUACGGCGUGGACUACCAGGGUAUCUAAUCCGGUU